GAGUUUGAUCCUGGCUCAGGACGAACGCUGGCGGCGUGCUUAACACAUGCAAGUCGAGCGGUAAGGCCCUUUCGGGGGUACACGAGCGGCGAACGGGUGAGUAACACGUGAGCAAUCUGCCCCUGUCUCUGGGAUAACCACUGGAAACGGUGGCUAAUACCGGAUAUGACCUCCUUCUGCAUGGUUGGUGGUGGAAAAGUCCGCUGGACAGGGAUGAGCUCGCGGCCUAUCAGCUUGUUGGUGGGGUAAUGGCCUACCAAGGCGACGACGGGUAGCCGGCCUGAGAGGGUGACCGGCCACACUGGGACUGAGACACGGCCCAGACUCCUACGGGGCGCAGCAGA
rnacentral:rRNA from 1 species